rnacentral:rRNA from 1 species
GGAUUCCCUUAGUAACGGCGAGUGAACCGGGAAAAGCUCAAAUUUGAAAUCUGGCUGUCUUCGAUAGUCCGAGUUGUAAUCUAUAGAAGCGUUUUCCGUGCUGAACUGUGUCUAAGUCCCUUGGAACAGGGUAUCAAAGAGGGUGACAAUCCCGUACUUGACACAAUCAUCAGUGCUCUGUGAUACGUUCUCUACGAGUCGAGUUGUUUGGGAAUGCAGCUCAAAAUGGGUGGUGAAUUCCAUCUAAAGCUAAAUAUUGGCGAGAGACCGAUAGCGAACAAGUACCGUGAGGGAAAGAUGAAAAGCACUUUGGAAAGAGAGUUAAACAGUACGUGAAAUUGUUAAAAGGGAAACGAUUGAAGUCAGUCGUGUUUAUUGGAUUCAGCCGGUCUUCGGUGUACUUCCUUUAAACGGGUCAACAUCAGUUUUGUUCGGUGGAUAAAGGUAUUAGGAAUGUGGCUUCUCCGGAAGUGUUAUAGCCUAGUAUCACAUACACUGGAGGAGACUGAGGAAUGCAGCUCGCCUUUAUGGCCGGGGUUCGCCCACGUUCGAGCUUAGGAUGUUGACAUAAUGGCUUUAAACGACCCGUCUUGA